rnacentral:rRNA from 1 species
GAUGAACGCUGGCGGCGUGCCUAAUACAUGCAAGUCGAGCGAACGGACGAGAAGCUUGCUUCUCUGAUGUUAGCGGCGGACGGGUGAGUAACACGUGGAUAACCUACCUAUAAGACUGGGAUAACUUCGGGAAACCGGAGCUAAUACCGGAUAAUAUUUUGAACCGCAUGGUUCAAAAGUGAAAGACGGUCUUGCUGUCACUUAUAGAUGGAUCCGCGCUGCAUUAGCUAGUUGGUAAGGUAACGGCUUACCAAGGCAACGAUGCAUAGCCGACCUGAGAGGGGGAUCGGCCACACUGGAACUGAGACACGGUCCAGACUCCUACGGGAGGCAGCAGUAGGGAAUCUUCCGCAAUGGGCGAAAGCCUGACGGAGCAACGCCGCGUGAGUGAUGAAGGUCUUCGGAUCGUAAAACUCUGUUAUUAGGGAAGAACAUAUGUGUAAGUAACUGUGCACAUCUGGACGGUACCUAAGCAGAAAGCCACGGCUAACUACGU